rnacentral:rRNA from 1 species
UACGGCGGGGGCUAGCGUUGAUCGGAAUUACCGGGCGUAAAGCGCGCGUAGGCGGACCUGCAAGUCGGGGGUGAAAGCCCGAGGCUCAACCUCGGAACUGCCUUCGAUACUGCGUGUCUCGAGUCCGGGAGAGGUGAGUGGAAUUCUUAGUGUAGAGGUGAAAUUCGUAGAUAUUAGGAAGAACACCAGUGGCGAAGGCGGCCCACUGGCCCGGUACUGACGCUGAGGCGCGAAAGCGUGUGGAGCAAACAGG